GGGCAUUUGGCGCAAUGGUUAGCGCUUCAGACUUCUACUAGUCGCGUUCCAACGCGAGUACGUGACAUCUGAGGGUUGCCGGUUCGAGUCCGGCAUUGCUCU
rnacentral:tRNA from 2 species